rnacentral:tRNA from 1 species
CAGAAGAUAGUUUAAAUUAGAAUUUUGGCCUUGGGUGCCAAGGGCAGGAGUUAGAGUCUCCUUUUUCUGG